GCCGCUGUAGCUCAGCCUGGUUAGAGCGCUACGCUCAUAACGUAGAAGUCGCGGUUUCAAAUACCGCCAGCGGCA
rnacentral:tRNA from 1 species